CUCUCCCUCACUCUCUCGGUCUGGUUCCUUACUUCUUAUUUCGAGUUUUGUAAGGCGUGUAUUGUGUGGAAGCAGCAAUCAGAAUUUUAUCAGGUUAAUUUAGGUGCAAGUUGUGUAGUGUCUUAAUCCUGCUGGUAUCCCAAAUCUUUUCCGGGUUUUUUGUUCUUGUAAUUCGAUGCAUGAUGUCUAAUUCUUGGUCGUCGUGGGAUGGCAGCUAUACUCUGGAUUGCUGCACAAAAUGGAGGUCAGCACCUUUUUUUUUCGUUUUUUGAAUUUUCGUUUCAUUUGUUCUAGAUAAGUGCCUCCUUGUAUCCGAACAGAUUGCAUGUGUACAAAUGCGGUUCAUCCUUCAUAAUGUGAAGAUUAUCUUAUUCAGAGCUCUAGAAAUAAGCAGGUGUUGGUUUCAUAUGUACAGGCGGAGAUGAAGCAAAUGGCAGAGGAAAUGAAAACAAAGGAUGAGGAAGUGAACAGAUUGCUGCAAGAGAACAAGGAGUACCAGUCAACCGUGAAAGUGCUGAAGAAUGAGUUGGAUCUCAAUAGGCGCUCUGACAAGGAGAUGCUGUUGCGGCUUGAAACUCAGAAGAAAGAAAUCGAGCACGAGUAUCAGGAAACGAUCCACUCUCUUGAGUCUGAACUUCAAAAUUCUUACGAGAAGUUGAAGAACUUAGAAGCCAAUGCAGAAAGGGAAAUGAGUAAUCUGAAACUGAAGGAUACUCAGUAUCAAAAUUUCCUCUCAAGUCAGCUCCUUGAAUACAAGGUACACAAUGGGUCUGUUAGCUUCUAUCCCAAGAACUGCAAAUACACUAAAUGUUUUGAGCUUUCGCUUCUGCUCUUUUCUGAGGGCAAGAUACAAAGUCACAUUAUUGACCGCUCAUUAAACAAUUGAUUGUCUGCAGGAUCUCAGGUUGUCCCAACUCGACACGAGGAACGAGUUUUUGAGAAUGCAGACAGAGUGGAAUGAUCAGUUCAGUAUGCUUGGUGAGUGGCAAUAUACCUUUCCAAUUUAUGUAGAUGUCCUUGUUUGCUUUUGAUUGACCUCUUUUUGCUUACAUGAAUCCUUCUCCCUUGCUUGUGCAGAAGAACAGCUUCAGAGUAUGGCUCGAGCAGCAUCUGGAUACCACAAGGUGCUUGCUGAGAAUCGAAUACUGUACAAUGAAGUGCAAGAUUUGAAAGGUUCAUUUCUAACCAAGGCUCUAUAGUGGUUAAUUUUCCCGCCUAACUUGAGUACGAUUGUCUAUUUGAAAGACAUUGGUAGACUUCCUUUUACUCAUUUAGAACGCUUUUGCGCGUGUGUGUUUUCGUAUUUUUUGAUAGUGUGGAAGCGCGGUGAUGACAGAUCUGUACUUUUCAAUCUUUUUCAAAUUUUUAUGGGAAAGAGUUAACCUCUUUGACCUGAAGUAAAGCUUGGCCUCUUAUCUGUUGAGUACUGUGUAAGAGGAUAAAUUUGUUUAGCUGACAUCAAGCUUUCCCCUUCUCCUGCUGCAAAGAUUCCGAUGAUGGGUCCUAUCCGUUGUAACCUUGUGUCUGC
rnacentral:lncRNA from 1 species